UCCCAAGGCGCCUUUAGCACCAAGAUCAAGAUCAUCAUAAGCACUCCCAGGACGCCGCCGCUUUGUUUACAUGCAAGAUGGCGAAGACAUACGGAGACAAGCCAGUUAGCUUCCAAUUGGAGGAGAAUGGCGAGUACUGGUGCAUUGGAUCUGAGGUGGGGAACUACCUUCGGCUGUUCCGAGGGUCGCUGUACAAGAAGUUUCCCGGCAUGUACCGGCGCUCCAUCACCAACGAUGAGCGCAAGAAGCUGAUGGAGCUUGGUAGGUUCCUGGGCCUGACCCAACACGUCCUGGCCUCCAACAUCUCACUGCUGCGCGCCUCGGAGGUGGAGGACAUCAUCGAGGGCAACGAGGACAAGUACAAGGCUGUGUCAGUGAGGCAGCAGCAGGACCCCGAGGCUGCAGCGGCCAGGGCGGAGAGGCAGGUGAAGAAGCCCACAGCUCCCUGGGUGCCCACCAUCUCCAACUCCUCCCACCUGGAUGCUGUGCCCCAGGCCACCCCCAUCAACCGCAACCGCAUCAUCUCCAAGAAGAUCCGCACCUUCCCCAUGUGCUACGAUGACCUUGACCCAGCGCAGAUCCACGAGAACUCCUGCCAGAAGGAGGAACUGGUGCCCAUCAGGCUGGACAUGGAGAUUGAGGGACAGAAACUAAGAGACACCUUCACCUGGAACAAAAAUGAGAUGCAGAUCAGCCCAGAGCAGUUUGCCGAGUUGCUGUGUGACGACCUUGACCUGAACCCCCUCAUGUUCGUGCCGGCCAUCUCCACCUCCAUCAAGCAGCAGAUGGAGCAGUUCCCCUCCCAGACCAUCAUCUCAGACCACUCCGACACCAGGAUAGUCAUCAAGCUGAACAUCCAUGUGGGCAACAUCUCGCUCAACGACCAGUUUGAGUGGGACAUGUCAGAGCCAGAGAACUCCCCCGAGGACUUUGCCUCCAAGUUGUGCUCCGAGCUGGGCCUGGGCGGGGAGUUCGUCACCGCCAUCGCCUAUUCUGUGAGGGGGCAGCUGUUCUGGCACCAGCGCACCUAUGCCUUCAGCAGCGAAUCACCCCUGCCUUGUGUAGAGGUCCCAUUCCGGUCCCAGAGUGAGGCAGAGCAGUGGUCGCCCUUCCUGGAGACCCUCACCGAUGCAGAGAUGGAGAAGAAGAUAAGAGACCAGGACAGGAACACCAGACGAAUGAGGCGCCUUGCAAACACAACACCUGGCUGGUAACGAGGGGAAUGACAGCUUCUCCCUGCACCGAGCACCGCCAGGCAGCACCAGAGAGGCACGAGUACGUAAGGUUGUGAAGUCCACGAAGCACAGGCGGAGGAACAAAGGGGACAAGGACGUGGGGCGGCCAUCAGAGGAAAGUCUCUCUCUCUCUCCAAUGCUAGAAAUUCUCUCUUUCUUAGUAUUUUUCUCUCCAUCUCUACAAAUAUUUUUUUCUCCAUGUCUCCAGUAUUUUCUCUCCUUAACUGCAAUAUUUUUUCCUCCAAGUAUUUUUGUCUCCACUUCUUCCCUUAUAUAAGGUGUUAUGUGGUGUUUUGUGUGUGUUUUAUAUGUUUUUAGUGUGUUUUGGUUAUAUUGGCUGAGUUUUAUGGGCAUAUCAGGGUGUUUUGAAUGCUUUUUGGGUGUUUUUAGCAUGAUUUAGAUGUGUUUGGAUGAGUUUUUUAGGGUAUUGAGUUGAUGUGGGGUGUUUUGAGUGUGUUUUCGGUGUUUUUUGGUGUGUUCGGGUCAGUUUUGUGGAUAUAUUUGGAUAUUUUGGGGAUGUUUUGAGUGCAUUUUGAAUGAUUUAAACGUGUGUUAGGUGUGAUUGGAUGAGUUUGGAUAUAUAUAUAGGGGUAUUUUGAAUUUGUUGGGUGUGUCUGGGUCAUUAUUGUUGUAUUUAAGGAUGUUUUGAGUGUGUUUUGGGUUGUUUUGAGUGCAGUUUGUGUGUUUUGGGUUGUUUUGAGUGCAGUUUGUAUGUGUUUGGGUGAGUUUUGUUGUAGUUAAGGAUGUUUUGAGUGCGGUUUGGGUAAACUUUGUGGGUGUCUUGUGUUUUGAGUGUGUUUAGGGUAUUUUGGCGACACACGCCCGUCCUCCAAGUAUUUUUGUCUCCACUUCUCCCCAAAUAUAGAGUGUUAUGUGGUGUUUUGUGUGUGUUUUAGAUGUUUUUUACUGUGUUUUGGUUAUAUUGGCUGAGUUUUGUGGACAUGUCAGGGUGUUUUGAGUGCUUUUUGGGUGUUUUUAGUGUGAUUUAGAUGUGUUUGGAUGAGUUUUUUUGGGUAUUGAGGUGAUGUGGUGUGUUUUGAGUGUUUUCGGUGUUUUGGGUGUGUUUGGGUGAGUUUUAUGGAUAUAUUUGGGUAUUGUGAGGAUGUUUUGAGUGUAUUUUGAAUGUUUUAAAUGUGUGUUAGGUGUGAUUGGAUGAGUUUGGUUAUAUUUCGGGGUAGUUUGAAUUUGUUGGGUGUGUCUGAGUCAUUAUUGUUGUAUUUAAGGAUGUUUUGAGUGUGUUUUGGGUUGUUUUGAGUGCAAUUUGUGUGUGUUUGGGUGAGUUUUGUUGUAGUUAAGGAUGUUCUGAGUGCAGUUUGGGUGAACUUUGUGCGUGUCUUGUGUUUUGAGUGUGUUUUAGGGUAUUUUGACCACACACGCCCCCCAGUAACCCAAAUAACAUAACUUAAACACCACAACCUCAUCAGAUCUUACCGUAACAUAUACAGGACAAUCUUAUCUGGUCUGUUAUACCCACAAGGGCUUGCCACACGCCUGACAUUGCACAGGUACUCGUGAAAAAAGUUUCCCUGCCUCUCUCACUCACUACUCCAGCCCCUAACUCUUCCAACACAUAAUGAAUCCCAAUAAACACACACAACCUCACCAAACCCCAACUUAUAACAACUCAAUCCCCCGGCAGGUUGUGAAGUCCACGAAGCACAGGCGGAGGAACAAAGGGGACAAGGACGUGGGGCGGUGAUCAGAGGAAAGUCUCUCUCUCUCCAAUGCUAGAAAUUCUCUCUUUCUUAGUAUUUUUCUCUCCAUAUCUCCAAGUAUUUUUUUCUCCAUCUCUCCAUGUCUCCAGUAUUUUCUCUCCUUCACUGCAAUAUUUUUUCCUCCAAGUAUUUUUGUUUCCACUUUUCCUUUAUUUUUCCCUUCAUCUCCAUCAAGUAUGUUUCUCUCCAUCUCUCCACUAUUUGUCUUGCAUAUCUUAGUUUUCUCUCCAUCCAUCAAGUAUUUUCUCACCUCCAGUAUUUUUCCUCCCCUUAUUUUUUCCCCCCUUCUCUCCAUCUCUCCUGUACUUUUCCUUCCAUUUCUUUUACUUUCUCUCCAUCAAUCAUUUUUUCCCCUCCAUUUUUUUUCCCUCCACUCUCCAGUUUCCCUCCUCCCUGCAAGGAACAUAAACAAACAGGUGGAUUGUAUAGCUGGUAUAUUUAUUUUCAUAACAUGUUGCUAUAAUAAUAAAUGACUUCAAAUAAUAAAAAGAUUGAUAAAUUUCUCCAUAAAAUAA